AUUGAACGCUGGCGGCAUGCUUUACACAUGCAAGUCGAACGGUAACAGGCCUUCGGGUGCUGACGAGUGGCGCACGGGUGAGUAAUGCAUCGGAACGUACCCAGAGGUGGGGGAUAACGCAGCGAAAGCUGUGCUAAUACCGCAUGUGAUCUGAGGAUGAAAGCGGGGGACCGAGCAGCAAUGUUUGGCCUCGCGCCUUUGGAGCGGCCGAUGUCGGAUUAGCUAGUUGGUGGGGUAAAGGCCUACCAAGGCGACGAUCCGUAGCUGGUCUGAGAGGACGAUCCGCCACACUGGGACUGAGACACGGCCCAGACUCCUACGGGAGGCAGCAGUGGGGAAUUUUGGACAAUGGGCGCAAGCCUGAUCCAGCAAUGCCGCGUGCGGGAAGAAGGCCUUCGGGUUGUAAAACGCUUUUGGCAGGAACGAAACGGUGUCCGCUAAUACCGGGCGCUAAUGACGGUACCUGCAGAAUAAGCACCGGCUAACUACGUG
rnacentral:rRNA from 1 species